UCUGGGGAUAUGGCUCAGUUGGUAGAGUGCUUGCCUUGCAUGUAUAAGGCCCUGGGUUCAAUCCCCAGCACCAAAA
rnacentral:tRNA from 1 species